CGGAACGUAGCUCAGUCUGGGAGAGCACCAUCCUGAUAAGAUGGAGGCACGGAGGUUCAAAUCCUCUCGUUCCGA
rnacentral:tRNA from 1 species